AAUAGAUACCCCGGUAGUCCACGCCGUAAACGUUGGCGCUAGAUGUGGGGACCUUUCCACGGUUUCCGUGUCGUAGCUAACGCAUUAAGCGCCCCGCCUGGAGAGUACGGCCGCAAGGCUAAAACUCAAAGGAAUUGACGGGGGCCCGCACAAGCGGCGGAGCAUGCGGAUUAAUUCGAUGCAACGCGAAGAACCUUACCAAGGCUUGACAUACACGAGAACGGGCCAGAAAUGGUCAACUCUUUGGACACUCGUGAGCAGGUGGUGCAUGGUUGUCGUCAGCUCGUGUCGUGAGAUGUUGGGUUAAGUCCCGCAACGAGCGCAACCCUCGUCGCAUGUUGCCAGCACGUUAUGGUGGGGACUCAUGUGAGACUGCCGGGGUCAACUCGGAGGAAGGUGGGGAUGACGUCAAAUCAUCAUGCCCCUUAUGUCUUGGGCUUCACGCAUGCUACAAUGGCCGGUACAAAGGGCUGCGAUGUCGUAAGGCGGAGCGAAUCCCAAAAAGCCGGUCUCAGUUCGGA
rnacentral:rRNA from 1 species